rnacentral:rRNA from 1 species
CGCCACAGCCAUUUCACCCUGCAGCCCAAGACUGGUUGCCCACUGAAGCUAAGCAGAGUUGAGCCUGGUCAGUACCUGGAUGGGAGACCUCCUGAGAAAACUAGGUUGCUGUUGGAA